rnacentral:rRNA from 1 species
UCUACGGGAGGCAGCAGUAGGGAAUAUUGGACAAUGGGUGGAAGCCUGAUCCAGCCAUGCCGCGUGCAGGAAGAAGGCCUUCUGGGUCGUAAACUGCUUUUCUCUGGGGAUAAAAAGACCCUGCGGGGUAUAUUGAAGGUACCAGAGGAAUAAGCCACGGCUAACUACGUGCCAGCAGCCGCGGUAAUACGUAGGUGGCAAGCGUUGUCCGGAUUUAUUGGGUUUAAAGGGUGCGUAGGCGGUUCCAUAAGUCAGUGGUGAAAUACGGCAGCUCAACUGUCGAGGUGCCAUUGAUACUGCGGAACUUGAGUACUGAUGAGGCAGGCGGAAUUGACGGUGUAGCGGUGAAAUGCUUAGGUAUCGUCAAGAACACCGAUAGCGAAGGCAGCUUGCCAAGCAGUAACUGACGCUGAGGCACGAAAGUGCGGGGAUCAAACAGGAUUAGAUACCCUGGUAGUCCGCACAGUAAACGAUGAUUACUCGAUGUUGGCGAUACACAGCCAGCGUCUUAGCGAAAGCGAUAAGUAAUCCACCUGGGGAGUACGCCCGCAAGGGUGAAACUCAAAGGAAUUGACGGA